rnacentral:piRNA from 1 species
UGGUAGUUAUGGAGACCCCCAGGUGU